GGUCAAGCGAACAAGUGCAUGUGGUGGAUGCCUUGGCGAUCACAGGCGAUGAAGGACGCGGUAGCCUGCGAAAAGCCCCGGGGAGCUGGCAAACAAGCUUUGAUCCGGGGAUGUCCGAAUGGGGAAACCCACUCCUUUUGGAGUAUCCGUGACUGAAUACAUAGGUCAUGUGAAGCGAACGCGGUGAACUGAAACAUCUAAGUAACCGCAGGAAAAGAAAUCAACCGAGAUUCCCAAAGUAGUGGCGAGCGAAAUGGGAUGAGCCUUGUACUCUUUAUUUGUAUUGUUAGCCGAACGCUCUGGAAAGUGCGGCCAUAGCAGGUGAUAGCCCUGUAGGCGAAAACAGUAUGAAAGAACUAGGUGUACGACAAGUAGGGCGGGACACGUGAAAUCCUGUCUGAAGAUGGGGGGACCAUCCUCCAAGGCUAAAUACUCGUGAUCGACCGAUAGUGAACCAGUACCGUGAGGGAAAGGCGAAAAGAACCCCGGGAGGGGAGUGAAAUAGAUCCUGAAACCGCAUGCAUACAAACAGUCGGAGCCUCUUUAUGGGGUGACGGCGUACCUUUUGUAUAAUGGGUCAGCGACUUACGUUCAGUAGCAAGCUUAACCGUAUAGGGCAGGCGUAGCGAAAGCGAGUCCGAAUAGGGCGUUCAGUUGCUGGGCGUAGACCCGAAACCAGGUGAUCUAUCCAUGGCCAGGAUGAAGGUGCGGUAACACGUACUGGAGGUCCGAACCCACUAACGUUGAAAAGUUAGGGGAUGAGCUGUGGAUAGGGGUGAAAGGCUAAACAAACCUGGAAAUAGCUGGUUCUCUCCGAAAACUAUUUAGGUAGUGCCUCGUGUCUCACCUUCGGGGGUAGAGCACUGUCAUGGUUGGGGGGUCUAUUGCAGAUUACCCCGCCAUAGCAAACUCCGAAUACCGAAGAGUGCAAUCACGGGAGACAGACAUCGGGUGCUAACGUCCGGUGUCAAGAGGGAAACAACCCAGACCGCCAGCUAAGGUCCCCAAAUAUGGCUAAGUGGGAAACGAAGUGGGAAGGCUAAAACAGUCAGGAGGUUGGCUUAGAAGCAGCCACCCUUUAAAGAAAGCGUAAUAGCUCACUGAUCGAGUCGUCCUGCGCGGAAGAUGUAACGGGGCUAAGCCAUAUACCGAAGCUGCGGAUGCGUGCUUGCACGCAUGGUAGGAGAGCGUUCCGUAAGCCUGCGAAGGUGCCUUGUAAAGGGUGCUGGAGGUAUCGGAAGUGCGAAUGCUGACAUGAGUAGCGAUAAAGGGGGUGAAAGGCCCCCUCGCCGUAAGCCCAAGGUUUCCUACGCAACGUUCAUCGGCGUAGGGUGAGUCGGCCCCUAAGGCGAGGCAGAAAUGCGUAGCUGAUGGGAAGCAGGUCAAUAUUCCUGCACCGUCGUUAGAUGCGAUGGGGGGACGGAUCGCGGAAGGUUGUCCGGGUGUUGGACGUCCCGGUCGCUGCAUUGGAGAAGGCGCUUAGGCAAAUCCGGGCGCAGGAUUCAAGGGUGUGGCGCGAGCGACUUCGGUCGCGAAGCAAUUGGAAGUGGUUCCAAGAAAAGCCUCUAAGCUUCAGUCUAACGAUGACCGUACCGCAAACCGACACAGGUGGGCGAGAUGAGUAUUCUAAGGCGCUUGAGAGAACUCGGGAGAAGGAACUCGGCAAAUUGGUACCGUAACUUCGGGAUAAGGUACGCCCUUGUAGCUUGACUGGCCUGCGCCAGAAGGGUGAAGGGGUUGCAAUAAACUGGUGGCUGCGACUGUUUAAUAAAAACACAGCACUCUGCAAACACGAAAGUGGACGUAUAGGGUGUGACGCCUGCCCGGUGCCGGAAGAUUAAAUGAUGGGGUGCAAGCUCUUGAUUGAAGUCCCGGUAAACGGCGGCCGUAACUAUAACGGUCCUAAGGUAGCGAAAUUCCUUGUCGGGUAAGUUCCGACCUGCACGAAUGGCGUAACGAUGGCCACACUGUCUCCUCCCGAGACUCAGCGAAGUUGAAGUGUUUGUGAUGAUGCAAUCUACCCGCGGCUAGACGGAAAGACCCCAUGAACCUUUACUGUAGCUUUGCAUUGGACUUUGAACCGAUCUGUGUAGGAUAGGUGGGAGGCUAUGAAACCGGAACGCUAGUUUCGGUGGAGCCGUCCUUGAAAUACCACCCUGGUUUGUUUGAGGUUCUAACCUUGGUCCGUGAUCCGGAUCGGGGACAGUGCAUGGUAGGCAGUUUGACUGGGGCGGUCUCCUCCCAAAGGGUAACGGAGGAGUACGAAGGUACGCUAGGUACGGUCGGAAAUCGUGCUGAUAGUGCAAUGGCAUAAGCGUGCUUAACUGCGAGACCGACAAGUCGAGCAGGUGCGAAAGCAGGUCAUAGUGAUCCGGUGGUUCUGUAUGGAAGGGCCAUCGCUCAACGGAUAAAAGGUACUCUGGGGAUAACAGGCUGAUACCGCCCAAGAGUUCAUAUCGACGGCGGUGUUUGGCACCUCGAUGUCGGCUCAUCUCAUCCUGGGGCUGUAGCCGGUCCCAAGGGUAUGGCUGUUCGCCAUUUAAAGAGGUACGUGAGCUGGGUUUAAAACGUCGUGAGACAGUUUGGUCCCUAUCUGCCGUGGGCGUUGGAUAUUUGAAGGGGGCUGCUCCUAGUACGAGAGGACCGGAGUGGACGAACCUCUGGUGUACCGGUUGUGACGCCAGUCGCAUCGCCGGGUAGCUAUGUUCGGAAGAGAUAACCGCUGAAAGCAUCUAAGCGGGAAACUCGCCUUAAGAUGAGAUAUCCCUGGAGGCUUGACCUCCUUGAAGGGUCGUUCGAGACCAGGACGUUGAUAGGUCGGGUGUGUAAGCGCAGUAAUGCGUUCAGCUAACCGAUACUAAUUGCCCGUAAGGCUUGAUCCU
rnacentral:rRNA from 1 species